CCUGGCUCUAUGUCUUCUGAGCUAUAUGACCAGGGCCCCCUCAUCUGAAAGCCAGUGAUAAUAUCUAGCCUGCAAAAUUGUCGAGGCAAUUUAAAGCAAUAUAUGUGAAGUGCCUGGCACACAGGAAGAACUCAGGAGAUGGUAGCUGGUAGCAAGGCUGUAGAUCUAAGCCUGGUCCCCUCAAAACACCUUUGUGAUUGUCAGGCAUCAUAUGGAUGAUCAAACAAGUUCGGGGAACUCAUUUUCCCAUGGUCCCUAAGUAGUCGAAGUGGGGUACCUCCAGGUGCAAGGGCAUAUGCCUAGGGCUUAAAGGCAGUGACUGCGCAGUCAGACAAGCCUUGCAUCAAAUCAUAAUUCUGGCAAUCGCUGUGUGACCUAAGGCAAGUUACUUCACCUCUCUGUGCCUCUGUUUCCUCAUCUAUAAAACAGAUGUACUGUUUCUGUCUCCUCUACCACCUCUUAAAUCAACAAUUGUAACGUGCAAAUCUGAGACCCAAUCAUUUCUAUUCCCCACCUUCUCAACGGGCACACCAUGUUGAAGACUUUCAGAAGACAGCUUUGAAGGGAGUAUCAUUUUUCUAACUUUUUUUGUGCUUCUACUUUCAAGAUUUCCAUGUCAUUAGAUGCAAGUCAAUCAAAUGAUCAUACAUUUUCCUACAAAUGCAUUGUAAACAAAAUAAAAAUUUUAUCCCAAAGGGAAAAUGAAAAAGAAAAUUCAACAACUCUUUACCCCUGUAACUUCCUUUAUUUUUCUCCAUAGCACUGACAAUAUAUAUAGAUUUCAAUGUUGGGCUUGUUUUCUGCCCGGACCAGGAUGUAAGCUCCAUGAAGACAGUCUCAAUUUUGUUCACUACCGCAUCAUCAGUUCCUAGAACAGAGCCUGGCACCUCUGCAGAAUGUUAAAUGGCUCUUCGUGAAUCAACUCCAGGAUUCCCAUUGGUGGUUUGAGGAAUUUUCUUAACACACCAACGACCACACGAUAGUGAUGAUAUUGGCAAUUAUGGCCAUGGUGACUAUGAUCCCAAAAGAAAAGAAGACGAUGCCAAAGGCCGGUGGGUCACGACUUCGUUUUAAGGCUCAUUAUCACGGGAAGGCGUCCUCUUCCUUGGAAAUCUAAAUGCAGAACACCCAGCCAUCUUCAGGAAGCCUGUGUGUGCCAAGUCAGGCAGGGCAAAACCUUAUACCUGCAUGUUUUCCUAAUGUGAGAGACUGCUCUGUAAAUUUCUUUCUAGUGCUCAGUCGAGUUAAUAUGGAAUUUGCAUAAGCACUUGGCAAGAAAUAACGUAUGUCUCUGUAAUAUUUCCGAGGCAGUAUUUUCUCCUCCAAACCCUGACCUCUGUAGGAACGGGACUUAACAUUUGCCUCCCAAAUGCAGAGUAGGGCUGUAUUUAACUUACCCAGUGAAGUCUCCCCUAAGCACUCAGGGGACUCAAACCACAGAAACCAACAUUUGGUCUCUUUGAAUUAAGUCUUUUCAUAUAAUUGAAGCAGCCCAAGAAACCUCCCAGAAAAUGUUUCGGAACACAAAUGUGGAAUGGGGCAUCCAAUUAACAGCAAUAACAUUUUGUUCAAAAAUAACUUUUGCAGACAUAUUGCGAUGUCCAAAACAGAACUGCCCAUUGCUGGCCUCCAAACCACUCUGCUCCUCCCACAAGUGUUCUCCUAUCUUAGUAAAUGGCACCACCAAUCUCCCAGUUGCUAGGGCCUAAACCUUGGAGGCAGAAGUUCCCCCCUCCCCUGGUCUCACUCACUCCAUUACCAAAUCCUGAGAACUGUGUCUCCUAAAGUCUUGAAUGUGUACACUCAUCCCUGCCCUGAAUAACUGCACAACAGCCUCCUCCAGCCCGUUUUUUUUACCCAGCAACCACGGGAAGCUUCUUAAAAAGUAAAUCAGAUCAUGUUGUUCCCUUGCUUAAAACCCUCUAGUCUCAUGUCCCAGGCCUUCCAUCUCACUCACAGUAAAUCCAAAUUUCUGUUCAUGGUCUACACAGCCCCACAUGAUCUGAUCAGGCCCCUGCCUCCCUAUUUAAUUCUUCAACUCAUUCCAGCUUCCCUUCUACACUGCCUCCCGCCCCACAACCGUCACCUCCCUGACCCCACCACUCCACCUGUCUGGAAUAACUUCCCUUCCUUCCUUCACCUGGCCGUUCCCAGUUUAUCCCUCAUGCCAUAAAAGAACAUACUGUUCCCAGCCUAGGAAAGGCUCAGGACCCAUGCCUUCUACCCUCACAGACCCUAUGCUGAGUCCACCUUAACACUGAGCUUUGAAUCCAGAUGUGAGUUCAACUUGCUUUGCAAUUUGCUGUCUCCUCACACUGGUCCUGUUUCUCAACCCUAGCAGCAUGACAGAAUCUUUGAGGAAGCUUUUUUUUUUUUUUUUUUCAUUUAAAUUGAGGUAAAAUUCAUAUAAUAUAAAAUUAACCUUUAAAUGUGUACAAUUUAGUGGCAUUUACUACAUUUGCAAUAUUGUGCAACUAUCACCUCCAUCUAGUUCUAGAACAUUCCCAUCACCCCAAAAGGAAAUCCCAGACGCAUUAAGCAGUCACUCCCCAUUAGCCCUCCCCCAGCCCCGGGCAACCACUAAUCUUUCUGUCUUUAUGGAUUUUGCCUAUUGUGGACAUUUUGUAUAAAUGGAACCAUACACUAUGUGGCCUUUUGUGUCUGGCUUCUUUUGCUGAGCGUAAUGUUUUUGAGGCUCGUUCAUGUUCUACUAUGUAUCAGAAUUUCAUGUCUUUUAUGGCUGAAUACUAUUCAAUUGUAUAAUAAUACCACAUUUUGUUGAUCCAUUCAUCAGUAGACAGAUAUUUGGGUUGUUUCCAAUUUGGGGCUAUUGUGAGCAAUGCUGCUAUGAACACGGAUGUACAUACAAGCUUUUUGGUGGACAUGUGUUUUUAUUUCUCUCGGGUAUACACAUGAAUUGCUGGGUAUCAGGGAAGCUUUGAAAACCACGUUUGCCAGGGCUCUACUCUCCAAGUUUUCAAUGUACUUGGCCUGAGGUAGGAUAAGGCAUUCCUAUCCAUCUAAAAGCUGAGACCAUGGCUGGGCAAACUAAGGCCAGUGGGCCAAGUCCCGCCCACUGCCUGUUUUCAUGUGACCCCUAAACAAAGAACGGUUGAGAAAAAUAAAAACGAAGAAUAUUUUGUGA
rnacentral:lncRNA from 1 species